rnacentral:rRNA from 1 species
CCUACGGGGGGCAGCAGUGAGGAAUAUUGGUCAAUGGGCGGAAGCCUGAACCAGCCAAGUCGCGUGAGGGAUUAAGGCCCUGCGGGUCGUAAACCUCUUUUGCCGGGGAGCAGUGGUCCGGACGCGUCCGGACCGGGAGAGUACCCGGAGAAAAAGCAUCGGCUAACUCCGUGCCAGCAGCCGCGGUAAUACGGAGGAUGCGAGCGUUAUCCGGAUUUAUUGGGUUUAAAGGGAGCGUAGGCCGCAUGUCAAGCGUGCUGUGAAAUGUCCGGGCUCAACCCGGGCCUUGCAGCGCGAACUGGCGUGCUUGAGUCCGCGGAAAGCAGGCGGAAUUCGUCGUGUAGCGGUGAAAUGCUUAGAUAUGACGAAGAACCCCGAUUGCGAAGGCAGCUUGCUGCAGCGGAACUGACGCUGAUGCUCGAAAGCGCGGGUAUCGAACAGGAUUAGAUACCCGGGUAGUC